rnacentral:tRNA from 1 species
UGGCUUAGAUGGUAAAGAAUCUGCCUGCAAAGCAGAAGAUCCAAGUUCUAUCCCUGG